AUUGAGUGCCCGCAUACGGCGGGAUAAUAGGGAAUUGGGUGAGAAUCCCAAGCGAUCCGGUCACUGUGUUCGGUCAAAAAGCUGCAUGAAGCCAUUGCAGAAAUGUGAGAAGGCGCAGCUAAAAUGAAUGCCGUCAGUCAGGAAACCUGCUCAGUAUAU
rnacentral:ncRNA from 1 species